GAUGAACGCUAGCUACAGGCUUAACACAUGCAAGUCGCGGGGCAGCAUGGGGGUUGCUUGCAAUCCCCGAUGGCGACCGGCGCACGGGUGAGUAACGCGUAUCCAACCUGCCCUUCACCACGGGAUAACCCGGCGAAAGUCGGACUAAUACCGUAUGUUGUCCAUUGACGGCAUCCGAUUUGGACGAAAGGUUUGGCGGUGAAGGAUGGGGAUGCGUCCGAUUAGCUGGACGGCGGGGUGACGGCCCACCGUGGCGACGAUCGGUAGGGGUUCUGAGAGGAAGGUCCCCCACACUGGAACUGAGACACGGUCCAGACUCCUACGGGAGGCAGCAGUGAGGAAUAUUGGUCAAUGGGCGUAAGCCUGAACCAGCCAAGUAGCGUGCAGGAUGACGGCCCUAUGGGUUGUAAACUGCUUUUAUGCGGGGAUGAAGUGGCCCACGUGUGGGUUUUUGCAGGUACCGCAUGAAUAAGGACCGGCUAAUUCCGUG
rnacentral:rRNA from 1 species